GUAAAUGCUGGCUUUAGGGGAUAAACAAGCCGCUUCAUCAGGUGAAAAUGGAUCUGGAGCUCUCCCUGUGCAUUUGCACCUGGUGGAGCAGCUUGUUCAGUCCUACAAGCCAGCUGC